CACACACACACACACACACACAGAGUAUUUUUUUUUUUUUUAUGAUUUUCUUUGUUAACUUUAUUUCACUUUUUUUCCAGAUGGCAGUGGCAUGGGUGGCAUUAGAGAAGAGCUGCAAAAGGAACAUUUAUUGGACACUGUGAACGUGGCCAAGGUGUGUGCCCAUUACAGUGACUGUCCAAACAAUGAGAAGUGCUGCAGAACUAAAUGUGCACUUGAAUGUACACCUCUAUAUGAAUGGGCCCUGGUCCAUGACUCGGACUGAUGUGCUGAGAACUAAUCCAUGAUGAUCAAUGUCCUGCCAGACAGAAGUGUUGCCCAACCACCUGUGGCCAUGCAUGCAGCUAACCAUGUCAAUUUAGCCAUUAAGAAUAAGUCCACGAUUUGUUGGUUGUGUUUUCUUUUUUCUUUUCUUUUUUUCCUCCAUGCUGUACUUGAGGUCUUUUACAUUCAUAAAAAAUCUCAGUUUAGUAAAACUUCUGUGUGUAUGUUGUUGGGGUGUGUGGCAUUGAUGUACCUAAUGCAAAUGAAAGUCAGUCUCCAGUUGACUAGCAGAGAUGAUAAAAGGUGAUUGUAAUGCCAAUAAUACCCUGUGUGGGAGUCCUGUCACUGAAUUUAAUGGUACCAUAAUUGAGGAAAUAAUGGAUGAACUGGGAUUAGUUUGUCUUAAUAAUGGUAGCAGUACAAGACUGGAUGUAGAGGAUAAUUUUAACUGCUGUAUUUUUCUGUUUGCUUGGUUUUUAUUUUGUGUUUAUGUAACUCAUGUAUUAUUGGAACUCAUUUUUUGCCAUGAAGAUUAGAUGCUGACAUGCCAAUAAAAAUAAAGAACUACUGGAUG